rnacentral:tRNA from 1 species
UAGCUCAGCUGGGAGAGCAUCUGCCUUACAAGCAGAGGGUCAGCGGUUCGAGCCGGU